rnacentral:rRNA from 1 species
CUUUUGAUCCUGGCUCAGAACGAACGCUGGCGGCAAGCUUAACACAUGCAAGUCGAACGGACCAUACGCGCAGCUUGCUGCGUGUAUGGUUAGUGGCAGACGGGUGAGUAAUGCAUAGGAAUCUACCUAGUAGUAUAGGAUAGCCACUAGAAAUGGUGGGUAAUACUGUAUAAUCCCUGCGGGGGAAAGAUUUAUCGCUAUUAGAUGAGCCUAUGUCAGAUUAGCUAGUUGGUGGGGUAAUGGCCUACCAAGGCGGUGAUCUGUAGCUGGUCUGAGAGGAUGAUCAGCCACACUGGAACUGAGACACGGUCCAGACUCCUACGGGAGGCAGCAGUGGGGAAUAUUGGACAAUGGGCGCAAGCCUGAUCCAGCUAUGCCGCGUGAGUGAGGAAGGCCUUAGGGUUGUAAAACUCUUUCAGUAGGGAAGAUAAUGACGG